AGGAACCCGCUCCGGGGUGAGCGGCCUGGGACCUGGGGCCGUGGAGGCAGCCUGAACCCCGGACGGGUGUCCAGCCGCAAGAAAUGACCUUUGGCUCUAAAAAGAAGGCUCCAUUUUUCAUGAUAAAAUGGCAGCGGUGCAAACCCCCAGCAGAGAAGUAAAGAAUGCUAAAGAACCAUUUCAUGAUGCAUCGCCCCUCCUUUUAAGGAGCCUAGUGGAGGAACCCAAGAAACCAAAAGAAGUACCUAAUCACCUCCUGGAAUCAAAGGUUUAUGCAAAUCUUCUGAAUAAUAAGGUGAUACAGGCAAAACCUGGCAUAUUGCAUUUUGGAGGCUAUCAAGUAGAAAAACAACACCAGCAGAUACUGCAUGUGGUCAAUAUUUGCAAUGAAGAUGUACGCGUUCAUAUUUUACCCCCCCAAACCAAACACUUUCAGAUCAAGUAUGUGAAGAAGGAGCACCACCUUGUCCCUGGCUUGUCCCUCACGGUCACCGUUACAUUUACUCCAGAUGAGUGGCGAUACUACUAUGACUGCAUCCGCAUUCACUGUCAGGGAGGUGAGACUUUGCUUGUCCCCAUCCAUGCCUAUCCUGUCAUGAAUAGACUGGACUUUCCCUCAUUUAUAAAUCUAUCAAAUGUUCUACUUGGUGAAAGCAAAAGCUAUGUGAUUCCUUUGCAAUGCAGUUGCCCUGUAGAUUUUGAGUUUCAUGUUGCUUUGGUUCGGUCUCAUCAAGCCUUUACUGUUGAGCCAACAUCAGGAAUAAUACCAGCGAAUGGGAAGAUGGAUGUGACAGUGACGUUUACCCCCUUUCAGUGUGGGAUCGCACAGAUAAAAGUGCAGCUGUGGAUUUCACAGUUCAACUCUCAGCCGUACGAGUGUGUCUUCACCGGCACGUGCUACCCCAACAUGGCUUUAAACUUAGAAGAAUUUGAAAGAUUAAAUACCCUUUCUAGGAAAGUAGUUGUUCCUCCAGAAAAGGCAAGGACACAUGUACAUUUUCACCGACUGCCAGCAAAGGCAAAGCCUCCCAAGAUUAAGGAAAUCGAAUAUCAGAACUUGAGAUUUCCAGUAGAUUUAUCGAAUCCAUUUGCUGUGGCAACUGUUCUAAACCAAGAACCAGGAAAACUGAAGAUUAAAGAAUUAAGAGAAGGCAAGCAGUUGGUCCUCCUUUUGGACCAAGGCACUGAGGUUUCAAAAACAAGACAGAUGAAGGAAGCACUCUUUGAACAGAAGGUCAGACAGGACACUUACGAAGAGCUCAAAAAUCACCUUAAGUGGCAGGUACACCUCGGUAAAGAUCACAUGUCCUUUAAAUUUAAAAAAGACCUUGCUGAGGAGCGGCAGAGAGUAAACAACAAAUACAAGCUAGAUAGAGGAGAUCCUGUUUUGGAUGACGAAUUCCAGCGACUCAAGACAGAAGUUCACCCGAAACGGGUUGUACGCGACCUGGAAGAAAAAACCAGGGAAUUUCAUCCUAAUUUUGAUCCGCUCAUAAAUAACACUUGGGUCAACAGGUUCUGGGCGCAGAGACGGUUUCAGCAAGCAGCACGCAAGGUCAUGAUUCAUCGCCGCUUGCUGAGCAUGCUGAGUGCGAUCCGUAACAUGCACAGAGACGCCGUCGUGAAAAGGUCCACGCACGGAAGACAGUCCAUGGCACAAGACAAGAAUUCCUCCAGACACCUUCGGGCGCGGGUCAGUCAGGACGAUUACUGCAGCUGCUUCUCUGUGUCACCCCAUCAAGUGCUGCCCUUCGCCUUCCCGGCCUACAGCGCCCCCCAGGGCUCCAACGAGCUGGCUCCUGAUGGCCUUGGACCUGUUCCAAUUAAACCUUCAGAAAUUCAAAUCAAGCAGACCUAUUCCUUCUUCAAUCUGCAGGUUCCUCAGCUGUACCAGAUCAAGAGGUACCAGCCGGUCUCUGUGCAGAUGUCCUCCACCAGCUACUGGCCUCAGAAGCUUGCCCGGGCCCUGAAGCCAGGAGCUGAGGACGAAGCCACCGCUGUCACAGCCCUGCCCAAGCAGGACUCGGCACCCCAGCUCCCCGGCGAGACCUCCGUCCUGAGCAUAAGACUCCCUGAGGCCUUGGCCCGGGCUCCGGAGUACGACCCGCUUUAUAUCUUUAACCCCAGCCCAGGGUUAUUUGCUGUGAAGCACCCGCUGACCUACGCGGAAACCUCGAUCGAUUACCAUCUGUGCACCCACCCCAAGUACAAGUUCACCAAGGAGUCCCACUGCAGCUCCAGCGUCCCCCUCACCCAGAAGCAGUUUCUCCAUCACACGGAUGUCAUUCCUGGAGUGAUGAGCUGGAAGAGGUUCCCGUGCCUGGUCCUCUCGACCCUGCCCGAAACCUCUCAGACAGAGAUGGCGCAGAGAGCCGGAAGACCUCAAACAAGUAGACGGAUGCCUUUUCUUUAAGACGCGGCCUGGUCAGUGACCUGCUCCUGAGCCUGGAGUUUGCUUCUUUGGUCCACUGUCCUUAUAAACGCAGUGAAAUGAGUCGCUGGUGAGCAAACGUGACGAGUGUCCCAACACGAUGAUCAUCAGCAGUGACCUUUUGUUCAAAUCCUUCGAUCCAGGGUGAGGCCCACCCCAAGGGGCAGAGCCCUGCCACGGCCCAGGAGUGGUCAGCUCUGCCGGAGCACUGCCACCAACCAGGGUCAGCAGGGACUUACACCCUCGACUGCCACCAGCGUGUCCCGGCUCCCCCCCGUCACCAGAAGGGCCCACGGCCUCCCGGAGCUGUGUGACCCCGGCCACGCUCUGCGGCCACUCUCUGGGCCCAGUCCUCUCGUGCAGAACACAAGCCGGGCGGACUUGCUGGGAAGACCCCGCUCAGCCGGGACAUUUUCGUUUUAGCAGAGAGAGAAUUUACUGAGUCUCUGUGACUUCCAUGAAAUCUGAGUAAGCAGCGACAAAGAAGUCAUCUAAUCCAGUGGUGCCCAGACUUUGGGGUUUUACAGACAACUGAAAUUUCCAGAAGAAUCUUAGGAACUGACUUAGAGUUGUCGGCGUUUUACUUUUCCAAGAAAGGCAUGAAACAAAACAAAGCAAAACAAAACACCCAACCUCCGUCCACUGCCACCACCCUUUCAAUUCCAGAGGAACAUAUUAACACAUGGAAAAGUAAGCAGGACAUGGUCUCAGAAUUUUAAAAUUAGCUGUGAUUCCUUCAAUUUAGCCAUGCUUCCUAUAGACGUCCCUGCCGUUCUUGACGCCUUACCAGAAGAAGACAGAAU